GUAUCCUGGCUCAGGAUGAACGCUAGCUACAGGCUUAACACAUGCAAGUCGAGGGGCGAGCAUGACGAUAGCUUGCUAUUGUUGAUGGCGACCGGCGCACGGGUGAGUAACGCGUAUCCAACCUUCCCGUUGCUAGGGGAUAACCUUGCGAAAGUAAGACUAAUACCCUAUGAAGUUCUUCGCAGGCAUCUAAAGAGAACGAAAGAUUUAUCGGCAACGGAUGGGGAUGCGUCUGAUUAGG
rnacentral:rRNA from 1 species